ACCCCUCACAGCAAACCCCAAGAGUUCAGCCGUUGGUUAUCCGCUCUAAGCAACAGGGCUUCUUUCCAAGACUUAGCUGGGAUGCAGAAUAGAAGCUGGGCCUUUGUCUGACUACCCUGCAACAGUCAGCCACAGACGGGAAGGCAGCGCAGGAAACUGAGGCCAAAGGAGCCGCGCUUCCUCAUGAGCAUGAAGCGGCAAAGCCUGAACUAGAAGCUUCUAACGCCUAACCGUCCUCUUGCCGCACCAGGACCUACCUCUGCAAGGCCCUUCCUGACUUUUUCCUUAGAAUGUGUGUAUAUGUGUCUUUUUCCUUUUCUGAUGCUAAGACACCUCAGAAACACCAAUGUUAAGCAGAUUUCCAUCGUUGGAGGUUAAAACACCCGAAUACAAGUGUUUUCUUGAGUGUGGCAUCUGGUCAGAUGUUUUAUGGGUUGGUUUGUUUUUAAAAAAAAAAAAUUUCCUGUUAGAUGGGUGGUAAGAACCAGUCAGAGUUUGUAAACCCACCAAGCACGAGGCGGUCGGACCGUCCAGAUUCUGGAGUCCAGAAGACACCAAACGUUCUCAGAAUGCCGAACGCGGGCGCCACCUGGUGGGACUAGAACGCUUAUUGUCCCAAAUCAGCAUAGCACACAGUUCCCAUAAAUCUUAAAAAUUCCCAUCCAAGGCUCAUUUCCGUGUGACUAAAAGUCAUAUUCUCUGUUCUCGUGACUCCAAGUAAAAAUGUCCCUAAAGAGCCAAAGUAUCUUCACUGUAUAAACUAAUAAUCUAUUGGUUUGGGGAAUUUUAUUUUUUGUGAUCAAUGUUACUUUAGCCUUUCUAUGAUAUACAUAUAAAUAAAAAAG
rnacentral:lncRNA from 1 species